rnacentral:rRNA from 1 species
AGGAUUCCCCUAGUAACUGCGAGUGAAGCGGGAAGAGCUCAAAUUUUGAAUCUGACGGUCUCGGGCCGUCCGAGUUGUAAUCUAGAGAAGCGUCUUCCGCGCCGGACCCGUGUACAAGUCUCCUGGAAGGGAGCAUCGUAGAGGGUGACAGUCCCGUCUUCGACACGGACCUUCGGGGCUAUGUGAUGCGCUCUCGACGAGUCGAGUUGUUUGGGAAUGCAGCUCCAAACGGGUGGUAAACUCCAUCUAAAGCUAAAUACCGGCGAGAGACCGAUAGCGAACAAGUACCGUGAGGGAAAGAUGAAAAGAACUUUGGAAAGAGAGUUAAACAGUAUGUGAAAUUGCUGGAAGGGAAACGCUCCGAGUCAGUCGCGUCCGCCGGGGAUCAACCCUGCUUUACCGCCGGGCGUACUUCCCGGUCGACGGGCCAGCAUCGAUCUCGGUCGUCGUAGAAGGACGAGGGUGAAAGUGGCACCCCUCGGGGUGUGUUAUAGCCUCUCGGUACGCAUGCGACGACCUGGGAUCGAGGAACUCGACACGGCCCCUCGAGGGUUUCGGGGCUUCUUGGCCCACGCUCACGUGUCUAGGAUGUUGGCGUAAUGGCUUCNAGCGACCCGUCUUGAAACACGGACCAAGGAGUCCAACGUGCCUGCGAGUGUUCGGGUGG